rnacentral:rRNA from 1 species
UACAGAGGGUGCGAGCGUUAAUCGGAAUUACUGGGCGUAAAGCGUGCGUAGACGGUUAUUUAAGUCGGAUGUGAAAGCCCCGGGCUCAACCUGGGAACUGCAUUGGAUACUGGCGAUCUGGAGUGCGGUAGAGGGUGGCGGAAUUCCCGGUGUAGCAGUGAAAUGCGUAGAUAUCGGGAGGAACAUCCGUGGCGAAGGCGGCCACCUGGACCAGCACUGACACUGAGGCACGAAAGCGUGGGGAGCAAACAGG